rnacentral:rRNA from 1 species
CAGUAGCCGCGGGAAUCCGUAGGUGGCAAGCGUUGUCCGGAAUUAUUGGGCGUAAAGCGUGCGCAGGCGGAUAGGUCAGUCUGUCUUAAAAGUUCGGGGCUUAACCCCGUGAUGGGAUGGAAACUGCCAAUCUAGAGUAUCGGAGAGGAAAGUGGAAUUCCUAGUGUAGCGGUGAAAUGCGUAGAUAUUAGGAAGAACACCAGUGGCGAAGGCGACUUUCUGGACGAAAACUGACGCUGAGGCGCGAAAGCCAGGGGAGCGAACGGGAUUAGAUACCCCGGUAGUCCCUGUCUCUUAUACA